CCUCUACGCCUAGGACACCAGAAU
rnacentral:snRNA from 1 species